rnacentral:rRNA from 1 species
ACACCAGAAAAGAUAAUUUUACCUUAAAAUUUAAAUUUAAUUUUAAUGAAAAGUUUAAAAUUUGAUUUUUAGACGAUAAGACCCUAUGAAGCUUCAUUAUUAUUAAUUUUUUUGGGGAAAACCAUAAUUUAUUUAUUAUUACUAUGGCAUAUAUUGAUCUUUUGGAAUUACAAGAAUAAGCUACUCUAGGGAUAACAGCAUAAUUUUUAUUAAAGUUCCUAUUGAAAUAAAAGAUUGUGACCUCGAUGUUGAAUUAAGAAAUAUAAUUUGUGUAGCAGCUAAUUAUUCCUAGUCUGUUCGACUAUAUUAUCUUACAUGAUCUGAGUUCAAACCGGA